GGGAGAUGACACAAAACCAAACCAUAUCAGUCUUUAAAGAGUUAAGUUAAAAUAAGCUCUUUAAAGUGGGCCCUAAUCCAAUAUGACUGGUGUUCUUAUAAGAAGAGGAGAUUUGGUCACAGACAUGGUUGCAUGCAGAAUAAAGACCUUUCGAGGACACACUGAGAAGGCAGCCAUCUGCAAAACAAGGAAAGAGUCCUCAGCAGAAACCAGUCCUGCAGACUCCUUGAUCUUGGACUUCCAGCCACUGCAACUGAUGUCAAGCUUCAGCACCCUUGCAUCUCUGGAUAAAUGAAAUGUCACCCCAGCUGCCGUCCUUGUUCAGAUCUGUGCAAUAAAGAGCAAAGCAUAAAACCAAGUCAAGGCUUUGAGGGAGUGACCUACAAAAUGCAUAAUGUGAAACAAUGCAAAAGCGAAAGGUGCAAAAUCCCCAUCAAAGAGCUGGAUGCUGACAGAUGCGCCAGCGAUAAUUCCCAUCUUCCAACACAGGAGCACAGCUUCCAUUUUCCAUAACAGAACAACAGCCAGAGCAGCUGGAAGGCAGGGCUGCAUCCCAGACUUCCACCAACAAUGGGAUGAGACUUGACAUCUGGAAUCACAACCACAACAGACCUAAGAGACCCACCAGCUUGAUGACAAGCUUCUUCUUUCAAAGAAAGUUUUAGGCGGUCAUGACCAUGGGAUGCUGGACCAGGAUGGUAAGCUUCAGGAAACAGAAUCUGGAGAAUGCCCAGCUGCUCCCACAGGAAGCAUCAGGGAAGAAGAAGAAGAGGUGUGAAGUCUGCCUUCUGCUCUGCUGGGAUCCCUUUCACAUCUCCUUUGCCUCCAGGCAGUUUUGGUUCCUGGCCAUUUCCAGGUGUGACUCACUCAGGAUGGUAAGCAUCUUCUCUCCUACCCAGAGUAGAGGAUGAAGACCUCAUCUCAGAGGUUGAAGGGAGCUCCAGAGAGAGGUCUCAAACUUCCAGCAUUAACCGCUAAAGAAGCUUCAUGAGCUGCUGGAGAACCUGGGAAAUGACCAAUGAUAGGGACAGAGCUCAAAUACUCUGGGACACUCUAGUAGCUGAGAAAGUUCCAACUCCAGGGCGAUAGAGGACUGCCUGGCAAACCAUCAUCAAAGCAGAAGACCUGAUACUAACAUCACAGGCUAUGGUUUAUUACUGAAGAUCGGUGCUUACACCCUGCCAGAGGUUCAGAAGCAAACUUAUCAUCGUUCUCCCUGGAGAUGUUGGCCCACAUUCUGAAAAGUGUGGUCAGUAGUAGCAACAGAAAGCAAUUGUGCUUGCCAAGCACAAUGUCACUGUCCCCAGCCCUUCCCCCAACACAACCCAGUAGGUGCUUCCUUGCUGCAAACUUGGGAAAGUCACUUGACCUGUCUGAGGUUCCACUUCCUAAUCUGGCCUGGCGAAGAUAAGAAAAACAGUUUAUUUAAAGUGUCUAGCAAAGUGCUUGGACCAAAAUAGGACCUCUGAAAUGGUUAUGGUAGUGCCGUUAAGGUGAUGUUUUAAGUGCUGAUGAGCACAAAGAUGGGUAAGAUAUUCCUUCUGUUAAAAUCUACAGUCUAAUGAGAGAGAACAAGAUGAAUGCACAAUAACUAUCAUUCAGAACAGGAUUAUGAGGUGUGAAUUUCUGUGAAAAAUCAGAACAGGGAGUAAUAUGAUCCCAGGUGAUUGGCAGGGGGUGGGGGUCUGGAUUCAACUGGAGAGGGAGCUGGCAGGGAAGGCUUCCUGGAGGAUGAGAGUUCAACAAGGGGCAGGUGUAGGAUGUGGGUGGCCAAGUGACUGGGCAGAAGGAGCUGCAGAAGUAAGACCCCAAGUCAGGAAGACAAGGGCCUGCUGAGAAACACGAGCUACAAAGUGCAAGUGCAGGAAGAGUUGGGAUGAGAUUAGAAGAGGGUCUGGGGCCAGACUGUGGAAGGCCCAAAUGCCGGGCUAAGGAGUUUGUACUUAAUUCAGUGGUCAACGGGGAGUCAUUGGAGGCUGUUGAGCAGGAGAGUUGCUUUCUUUACAGCUGUGCCAGACUAAAUUAAACCUAAACAGUACUUUAUAGCUGGAAAGGGAAGGCCCAGGAAUAGCUCUUGACUCAGAAACAGGCAUUGGGGAAGGUAAUGAGAAACAGCCCUGACUGAUCAAAGCAGAGAGGUUAAUUAAAUUUGUAAUUAUUGUGAAAGGCCAUUAAAAACCCUAGUUCACUAGAGAUAACUGCUCUAGUGGGGCUUCAAAGACGAACGCUUCUUUUAACCUUGAAUAGGGGGAUGUUUGCUUCUCUGUGGAGGAGAUAUGAUUAAGAUACUUAAUAAAUGGUAGAUAAACAUG
rnacentral:lncRNA from 1 species